rnacentral:rRNA from 1 species
AUUGAACGCUGGCGGCAUGCCUAACACAUGCAAGUCGAACGGCAGCGCGGGGAGCUUGCUCCCUGGCGGCGAGUGGCGGACGGGUGAGUAAUACUUAGGAAUCUGCCCAGUAGUGGGGGACAACCCGGGAAACCCGGGCUAAUACCGCGUAAUCUCUUCGGAGGAAAGAGGGCCUCUUCUUGAAAGCUCUCGCUAUUGGAUGAGCCUAAGUCGGAUUAGCUUGUUGGUGGGGUAAAAGCCACCAAGGCGACGAUCCGUAGCUGGUCUGAGAGGACGAUCAGCCACACUGGGACUGAGACACGGCCCAGACUCCUACGGGAGGCAGCAGUGGGGAAUAUUGGACAAU